rnacentral:rRNA from 1 species
GAUUAUGGCUCAGAUUGAACGCUGGCGGCAGGCCUAACACAUGCAAGUCGAACGGUAACAGGAAACAGCUUGCUGUUUCGCUGACGAGUGGCGGACGGGUGAGUAAUGUCUGGGAAACUGCCUGAUGGAGGGGGAUAACUACUGGAAACGGUAGCUAAUACCGCAUAAUGUCGCAAGACCAAAGAGGGGGGACCUUCGGGCCGUCUUGCCAUCGGAUGUGCCCAGAUGGGAUUAGCUAGUAGGG